GUUAGUUUAGUUUAAAGUUGAGAAUUUGUAACUUGUAAUUACAGGGUUUAACUAGCA
rnacentral:tRNA from 1 species